UACGUAGGGGGCAAGCGUUGUCCGGAAUCACUGGGCGUAAAGGGUGCGUAGGCGGUUGUGUAAGUCUGGAGUGAAAGUCCAGGGCUCAACCCUGGGAAUGCUUCGGAAACUGUGCGACUUGAGUGCUGGAGAGGCAAGGGGAAUUCCACGUGUAGCGGUGAAAUGCGUAGAUAUGUGGAGGAAUACCAGUGGCGAAGGCGCCUUGCUGGACAGAAACUGACGCUGAGGCACGAAAGCGUGGGGAGCAAACAGG
rnacentral:rRNA from 1 species